AGACAAGGUCAAGAUGAGAUAGAGCUUGCAUUCCGAUUCAGUGAGAGGAAUGACAGCCGAAGCUGAGGCCACGCCAAGGAUUCCCGAUUGAGAUUCUGGAUAAGCAGGGUUUCCUCCUCCGUGAAUGAGGUCAUGAGGCCACGACUUUGGCACUGAUCAUGAUGGCAUCCCCGCUUUCCAUGUCUUGGAACAUGAACACGCGAAAGUCGAAAUUAUUGAUAAGACGAUUCUCGGUAUCUCUCCAAGGAUUCACGGGCGCUAAAACGCGAUACGACGGAUUUCGACAACCCUCCUCGGUCACCAAUCUCGCCGUGUUUCUCUCAUCUCGCAUGGGUUGGCCCUUGUGUACGCGAUGAAUAAUCACAUCCGUGAUCUUGGCGUAGUUCCAACCUGAAACACAGUAUAAUAACUCGGUACAACCAACAGAUAUUUGCUUCCAUGGUACUGGAUCGAAGUUGCAGCCAACGACAUGUGCUUCUAAAUCUCUAAAUCAUCUAAAUCAUGGCCUCCUUACCAUCACCAGCGCGAACGAUACUUCUGAGUUGGACAUUUUCUCCCAAUUCGAUCGUGCUCCCCGAUUGGACACGGCUGGCAAACAAGUCGGUCCCGGCCAGGCGACGAAAAAGACCGAUUUCGCUCAAGAAGUCGUGACCUCCACCCAAAUAUAUUGUGGGAGAGCGUUGCUCGACUCUGGAAGUACAAUCAAAGGAAAGUAAAAUUUCGACCGUGACGUCAAUCGGGCUCUUUCAAGUAUUUUCCUUCCUCUCUUUGAUCCUCAUGGCGUUCAAAUCACUGGACUAUUGAGGGAUCAUUUAGUAACCACGAUACGAGGGUUGGUCGAAUCAAGGGAGACCAGCUUCUCUUAGGCAAAUGAUAAACUCCCAAAACGAAAUGGAUCUUCCACGUAUCUGACAAGAUGCCAAAAACGUCGCUAUUAGCGUGAGUGAUGAGCUCUGGCAACAAAAGCUUACACCACUGGCAUGCCUCACCGAGUGAACAAAGCCUCCAAAAAAUUCCAGGAAGUCAACUACCACGACCACAAUGGACUAAAUCAGGCUAAACAAGAAUGAGUGUGCAUCUUGUAAGUUAUCCUCCCCGGCUUCUUCGUUCAAACGCUACGUUCAGCGACCUCAGUAAGAAACAAAAACAAAAAGUCAACUCACGCGUUUUUUUGGAAGUUAAUGACAUUCCUACCCUCCACCGAGGGCUCUUGGGGCUUGCACUUGAUCUCGAUGACCUCGUCCUCGGGGAGCUUCAGUCCGGACAUGAUCGGGAAUCGAACCAGCAGACAAAGCCACCGCUCGCCGUCCACGGAACAAGUUUUCACCCCGCAUUCCUCCAGGCGAUUCAAAUCAAGCGCAAACACGCUAUUCAAAUUCGUUGCUGUGAUCAAACACAAAUCUUCAUCGGCCGUGGGUUUUUCCUCGAGAACCGGACUCGUCUCCUUUUGACCGUCUGGAGGUCGGAGAAAGGCCGUAAAGAGGUUGGAAGUGGGGGAUUCCAAGCAAUGGAUAUCUGCAAAGCGAUGAAGGACACGAAAUGAAUUCAUUAUUAUCUCAUGCACCUUGAUAUAUAAUUUGGUACGAGUUUGCUAAAUGUUCAUGCACUCCCUCCCUCACUACUUUUUGAUAAAACCAUAACAGUUCAACGUUA